rnacentral:rRNA from 1 species
GGAGGGUGCAAACGUUGUCCGGAAUUACUGGGCGUAAAGGGCGCGUAGGCGGACUUGUAAGUCAGGAGUGAAAACUCAGGGCUCAACCCUGAGCCUGCUUCUGAAACUGCAAGUCUUGAGGACCGGAGAGGAAAGUGGAAUUCCUAGUGUAGCGGUGGAAUGCGUAGAUAUUAGGAAGAACACCAGUGGCGAAGGCGACUUUCUGGACGGUACCUGACGCUGAGGCGCGAAAGCUAGGGGAGCAAACAGGAUUAGAUACCCUGGUAGUCCUAGCUGUAAACGAUGAGUGCUAGGUGGUGGUAGUUUCAACGCUUUCACUGCCGAAGCUAACGCAUUAAGCACUCCGCCUGGGGAUACGGCCGCAAGGUUG